UACGUAGGGGGCGAGCGUUGUCCGGAUUUAUUGGGCGUAAAGAGCGCGCAGGCGGUCGUUCAAGUCGAGUGUGAAAGCCCCCGGCUCAACUGGGGAGGGUCACUCGAUACUGAUCGACUCGAAGGCAGGAGAGGGAAGUGGAAUUCCCGGUGUAGUGGUGAAAUGCGUAGAUAUCGGGAGGAACACCAGUGGCGAAGGCGACUUCCUGGCCUGUUCUUGACGCUGAGGCGCGAAAGCUAGGGGAGCAAACGGG
rnacentral:rRNA from 1 species